rnacentral:rRNA from 1 species
UACGAAGGGGCUAGCGUUGCUCGGAAUCACUGGGCGUAAAGGGUGCGUAGGCGGGUCUUUUAAGUCAGGGGUGAAAUCCUGGAGCUCAACUCCAGAACUGCCUUUGAUACUGAGGAUCUUGAGUUCGGGAGAGGUGAGUGGAACUGCGAGUGUAGAGGUGAAAUUCGUAGAUAUCAGGAAGAACACCCGUGGCGAAGGCGGCUCUCUGGGACGGUACUGACGCUGAGACGCGAAAGCGUGGGGAGCGAACAGG